rnacentral:rRNA from 1 species
GACGAACGCUGGCGGCGUGCCUAAUACAUGCAAGUAGAACGCAGUUUCGAACGGGUGAGUAACGCGUAGGUAACUGCCUGGUAGCGGGGGGUAACUCUUGGAAAGGAGAGCUAAUACCGCAUACUACAAGAUGGACCUGCGUUGUAUUAGCUAGUUGGUGGGGUAACGGCUCACCAAGGCAACGAGAAAUAGCCGACCUGAGAGGGUGAACGGCCACACUGGGACUGAGACACGGCCCAGACUCCUACGGGAGGCAGCAGUAGGGAAUCUUCGGCAAUGGACGGAAGUCUGACCGAGCAACGCCGCGUGAGUGAUGACGGUUUUCGGAUCGUAAAGCUCUGUUGUACGAGACGCGGUAUCGGACCAGAAAGCCACGGCUAACUACGUGCCAGCAGCCGCGGUAAUUC